rnacentral:rRNA from 1 species
UACGGAGGAGGCAAGCGUUAUUCGGAAUUAUUGGGCGUAAAGCGUCCGCAGGUGGCUCUUCAAGUCUGUUGUGAAAGACUGGGGCUUAACCCUGGAAAUGCGGUGGAAACUGAAGCGCUAGAGUGUGGUAGGGGUAGAGGGAAUUCCCGGUGUAGCGGUGAAAUGCGUAGAUAUUGGGAAGAACACCGGUGGCGAAGGCGGCGACCUGGUCCGACACUGACGCUGAGGCGCGAAAGCGUGGGGAGCAAACAGG